rnacentral:rRNA from 1 species
GACGAACGCUGGCGGCGUGCCUAAUACAUGCAAGUUGAGCGCUGAAGGUUGGUACUUGUACCAACUGGAUGAGCAGCGAACGGGUGAGUAACGCGUGGGGAAUCUGCCUUUGAGCGGGGGACAACAUUUGGAAACGAAUGCUAAUACCGCAUAAAAACUUUAAACACAAGUUUUAAGUUUGAAAGAUGCAAUUGCAUCACUCAAAGAUGAUCCCGCGUUGUAUUAGCUAGUUGGUGAGGUAAAAGCUCACCAAGGCGAUGAUACAUAGCCGACCUGAGAGGGUGAUCGGCCACAUUGGGACUGAGACACGGCCCAAACUCCUACGGGAGGCAGCAGUAGGGAAUCUUCGGCAAUAGACGAAAGUCUGACCGAGCAACGCCGCGUGAGUGAAGAAGGUUUUCGGAUCGUAAAACUCUGUUGGUAGAGAAGAACGUUGGUGAGAGUGGAAAGCUCAUCAAGUGACGGUAACUACCCAGAAAGGGACGGCUAACUACGUG